rnacentral:rRNA from 1 species
AACGAACGCUGGCGGCAGGCUUAACACAUGCAAGUCGAACGCAUCCUUCGGGGUGAGUGGCAGACGGGUGAGUAACGCGUGGGAACGUGCCCCUCAGUUUGGAAUAACCCAGGGAAACUUGGGCUAAUACCGGAUACGCCCGUAAGGGGAAAGAUUUAUCGCUGAAGGAUCGGCCCGCGUCUGAUUAGCUAGUUGGUGAGGUAAAGGCUCACCAAGGCGACGAUCAGUAGCUGGUCUGAGAGGAUGAUCAGCCACAUUGGGACUGAGACACGGCCCAAACUCCUACGGGAGGCAGCAGUGGGGAAUAUUGGACAAUGGGCGCAAGCCUGAUCCAGCCAUGCCGCGUGAGUGAUGAAGGCCUUAGGGUUGUAAAGCUCUUUCGGCGGGGACGAUAAUGACGGUACCCGCAGAAGAAGCCCCGGCUAACUUCGUGCCAGCCGCCGCCGUAAUAC